UACGGAGGGUGCAAACGUUGCUCGGAAUCAUUGGGCGUAAAGCGCACGUAGGCGGCGCGGUAAGUCGGGUGUGAAAUCUCGGAGCUUAACUCCGAAACUGCAUUCGAUACUGCCGUGCUUGAGGACUGGAGAGGAGACUGGAAUUUACGGUGUAGCGGUGAAAUGCGUAGAUAUCGUAAGGAAGACCAGUGGCGAAGGCGGGUCUCUGGACAGUUCCUGACGCUGAGGCACGAAGGUCAGGGGAGCAAACGGG
rnacentral:rRNA from 1 species